rnacentral:rRNA from 1 species
GACGGAGGAGGCAAGCGUUGUCCGGAAUUAUUGGGCGUAAAGAGCGCGUAGGUGGCUUUCCAAGUCAUAUGUGAAAACCUCAGGCUUAACUUGAGGACUGCAUGUGAAACUGGAAAACUUGAGUGCAGUAGAGGAAAGUGGAAUUCCUGGUGUAGCGGUGAAAUGCGCAGAUAUCAGGAAGAACACCAGUGGCGAAGGCGGCUUUCUGGGCUGCUACUGACACUGAGGCGCGAAAGCUAGGGGAGCGAACAGGAUUAGAUACCCCAGUA